rnacentral:misc_RNA from 1 species
GAUGAAGAACGUAGCGAAAUGCGAUACGUAAUGUGAAUUGCAGAAUUCAGUGAAUCAUCGAAUCUUUGAACGCAUAUUGCGCUCUCUGGUAUUCCGGAGAGCAUGCUUGUUUGAGUAUCAGUAAACACCUCAACUUCCAUAUCUUUUUUGAAAUGGGAGUUGGACUUGAGUGAUCCCAACGCUUUUCCUCACCGAAAAGUGGCGGGUUACUUGAAAUGCAGGUGCAGCUGGACUUUUCUCUGAGCUAUAAGCAUAUCUAUUUAGCCUGCCUAAAAAACAGAUUAUUACCUUUGCUGCAGCUAACAUAAAGGAGAUUAGUUCUUGUGCUGACUGAUGCAGGAUUCACAAAGACAGGCUUCGGCCGACUUUGUAAACUCGAUCUCAAAUCAAGUAAGACUACCCGCUGAACUUAAGCAUAUCAAUAAGCGGAGGA